rnacentral:rRNA from 1 species
CUUUCUUUGCUGGCGACCGGCGCACGGGUGAGUAACACGUAUCCAACCUGCCCUUUACUCGGGGAUAGCCUUUCGAAAGAAAGAUUAAUACCCGAUGGCAUAAUGAUUCCGCAUGGUUCAUUAUUAAAGGAUUCCGGUAAAGGAUGGGGAUGCGUUCCAUUAGGUUGUUGGUGAGGUAACGGCUCACCAAGCCUUCGAUGGAUAGGGGUUCUGAGAGGAAGGUCCCCCACAUUGGAACUGAGACACGGUCCAAACUCCUACGGGAGGCAGCAUG